rnacentral:rRNA from 1 species
UUAAUGGCCGCGGUAUAAUGACCGUGCAAAGGUAGCGUAAUCAUUUGUCUCCUAAAUAGAGACCAGUAUGAAUGGCAAGACGAAAGCCUCACUGUCUCUCUAACCCAGUCAAUGAAAUUGAUCUUCCCGUGCAGAAGCGGGAAUAAAAGUAUAAGACGAGAAGACCCUGUGGAGCUUUAAACUUAAAUUAAUAUAUAUAUAUAUAUAAUACUUAAUACUAGUUUUAGGUUGGGGCGACCAUGAGGUAUAAUAUAACCCUCACGACAACAAAUAGAAGGACACUUCAAAUAAUCACUAUGACAUAUUGACCCA